CCUACGGGAGGCAGCAGUGAGGAAUAUUGGUCAAUGGACGAGAGUCUGAACCAGCCAAGUGGCGUGAAGGAUGACUGCCCUAUGGGUUGUAAACUUCUUUUAUAUGGGAAUAAAAUGUUCCACGUGUGGGAUUUUGUAUGUACCAUAUGAAUAAGGAUCGGCUAACUCCGUGCCAGCAGCCGCGGUAAUACGGAGGAUCCGAGCGUUAUCCGGAUUUAUUGGGUUUAAAGGGAGCGUAGGUGGAGUGUUAAGUCAGUUGUGAAAGUUUGCGGCUCAACCGUAAAAUUGCAGUUGAAACUGGCAGUCUUGAGUACAGUAGAGGUGGGCGGAAUUCGUGGUGUAGCGGUGAAAUGCUUAGAUAUCACGAAGAACUCCGAUUGCGAAGGCAGUUCACUGGACUGCAACUGACACUGAGGCUCGAAAGUGUGGGUAUCAAACAGGAUUAGAUACCCGAGUAGUC
rnacentral:rRNA from 1 species